rnacentral:rRNA from 1 species
CCCUUAGAUGUUCUGGGCUGCACGCGCGCUACACUGAUGCACUCAACGAGUUUACGACCUUGACCGAUAGGGUUGGGUAAUCUUUUUAAAAUGCAUCGUGAUGGGGAUAGAUUAUUGCAAUUAUUAAUCUUCAACGAGGAAUUCCUAGUAAGCGCGAGUCAUCAGCUCGUGCUGAUUACGUCCCUGCCCUUUGUACACACCGCCCGUCGCUCCUACCGAUUGAGUGCUCAGGUGAAUAAUUCGGACUGCAGCAAUGUUUGGAUCCCGAACGUUGCAGCGGAAAGUUUAGUGAACCUUAUCACUUAGAGGAAGGAGAAGUCGUAACA